UGGCCUUAUGCAUCUGUGUGGAAAUGUUUGCCAUGGUUUAAAGCUUGCCCUUUGACAGUUUGCACAUUUGUCAGGAGCCUGCUAUCUGUAAGCCUGGCCGCUAUGUUUCUCUAAGCAUCACAUUCACUCUUGAAUUGUGUCUGCAGAUGGAGGUGACAUCAUGGUAUCUCACAUGGAGGUGACAUAAUAGUGUCUACAAUGGAGGUGACAUCAUGGUGUCUCUACAGGUGGAGGUGACAUCAUAGUGCCACCUACAGGUGGAGGUGACGUCAUGGUGUCUACAGAUGGAGGUGACAUGAUAGUGUCUACACUUGGAGGUGAUGUCACUGUAUCUACAAUGGAGGUGACAUCAUGGUGUCUACACAUGGAGGUGACAUGAUAGUGUCUACACAUGGAGGUGAUAUCACUGUAUCUACAAUGGAGGUGACAUCAUGGUGUCUACACAUGGAGGUGAUAUCACUGUAUCUACAAUGGAGGUGACAUCAUGGUGUCUACAGAUGGAGGUGACAUCAUUGCAUCUACAGGUGGAGGUGACAUCAUGGUGUCUACAGAUGGAGGUGACAUCAUUGCAUCUACAAUGGAGGUGACAUCAUUGCAUCUGCAGGUGGAGGUGACAUCAUGGUGUCUACAGGUGAAGGUGACAUCAUGGUGUCUACAGGUGGAGGUGACGUCAUGCCCACUUGGACAAAGGAAGAUGGAGAAGGAUAACACUGAGAUUGUACAUCUUUUUGGCUCAGACUUCCUGCUUCCUUGCUGAAGUUUUCUGUUUUUCACUUGAGUGUGCUGUCAUAGUGAAUUGAGGGGCAUUUUUAUGUCUUCUAAUUCUGUCAGAUAAUUCUCUCCCACUUGGUGUUGUCAUCUAUUGAUUGUGUUUUCAUGUAAUUUAGAUUUUCCUGGGUUUUUGCAUAAUUUUUAACCAAAUCUUGGGCAUUGUCAUAUUACAUACUAGGGCUUGGAUCCUCCUCAGGCUGCAGCUCCUCUGACUCCGUUGACAUAAUUGUCAGGGGAAUCCAGCCGUGUGUUCUUCCUGCCCGGGGGAGGUGGACAGCCAGCGUCCCCACCCAGCCCUCACUGACCUCAGCAGGCGUGUGCAUCAUGACUGCAGAGCAGGGCUGAGCUGUGGCUGGCCCCCUGGUGUCCACUGUCACUCCAGGGGCUGCCUCGUGACUGCGGGCAGUGUGGACAGUUCUGAGUCCCAGGAGGGCUGCUGGGGAGCCCUCUCAUGUGGAAAGGGGGAGCCCCCUGGUCCUGCCAUGCACUGGGUGUCCAAGUGCCCCAGGUGCUCCCCAGCAGCUCUGUGGGCUGGGUGUGGGCAUGACACUUCCAACACCCACCAGUGUUCUGUUCCCAUGCAUGUGGGGUGUUGACACUUGCCCCAGCUACAGUGUGAUUUGUCUCCUCGAAAUCAUGCACAAGUGUCAGCCCCAUAUCUUAGGAUAGUGGUGUUAGAGAACAGAGCUCAACUUGCUAGACUCUUGAGAGUGAUCCUGUAGGUCGUCAGGGAGGGACCUCCAGGUCCGAAUCAGUGGUUUCACAAGGAAGAAGAGGAAACCACAGAGACCCAGUCACAGCCACAUGUGCUUCCUGGCUCUUGCCGUGUGACACCGUGGGCCACUUGAAGCCUCUGCCAGCCAGGACAUCACUGGCAGAGGCCAAACCAGUGGGGACUGUGGGAUCUUGGACUGGGAGCUCCCAGAGUCCCGAGGCAAAGUCGAGCUCCUUUCUUUGUAAAGAGCUUGCCUUGGGUGUUUUGUUGU
ensembl:lncRNA